CCUUCGGAGCAGACACACGGAGACGCGCUUUGCGCUCUCAACCUCGCGUGCUCUGAGGAAAGUCCCCGGGCACUGCGGCGGAAAGCGCCACCCGUCAAGGGGAGGUCCCCGCGGCUGUGGGAGCACGGAGACGGCUUCGGCCCGAGGUUGCCCACGCCGCGGGUCCGGCCAUAGGAUACAGUGAUGGGUGUGGGGGCCUCCGGGGCCCCUAACAGGACGGGGCUUACUCUGGCG
rnacentral:RNase_MRP_RNA from 13 species